GACGUAGGGCGCAAGCGUUGUCCGGAUUUAUUGGGCGUAAAGAGCUCGUAGGCGGCUUGCCACGUCUGCCGUGAAAACCAGCAGCUUAACUGUUGGCUUGCGGUUGAUACGGGUUGGCUGGAGUUCGGUAGGGGAGACUGGAAUUCCUGGUGUAGCGGUGAAAUGCGCAGAUAUCGGGAGGAACACCAAUGGCGAAGGCAGCUCGCUGGGACGUGACUGACGCUGAGACGCGAAAGCGUGGGGAGCAAACAGG
rnacentral:rRNA from 1 species